rnacentral:rRNA from 1 species
GACGAACGCUGGCGGCGUGCUUAACACAUGCAAGUCGAACGAUGAAGCCGGAGCUUGCUCUGGUGAAUUAGUGGCGAACGGGUGAGUAACACGUGAGUAACCUGCCCUUGACUCUGGGAUAACUGCUAGAAAUGGUAGCUAAUACCGGAUACGACCCUCGGAGGCAUCUUCAGGGGGUGGAAAGAAUUUCGGUCAAGGAUGGACUCGCGGCCUAUCAGCUAGUUGGUGAGGUAAUGGCUCACCAAGGCGACGACGGGUAGCCGGCCUGAGAGGGUGACCGGCCACACUGGGACGGAGACACGGCCCAGACUCCUACGGGAGGCAGCAGUGGGGAAUAUUGCACAAUGGGCGCAAGCCUGAUGCAGCAACGCCGCGUGAGGAAUGACGGCCUUCGGGUUGUAAACCUCUUUUAGUAGGGAAGAAGCGAAAGUGACGGUACCUGCAGAAAAAGCACCGGCUAACUACGUGCCAGCCGCCGCAGUAA